GACCGCGUAGCUCAGUUGGAAGAGCAUUGGGCUGGUAUUCCAAAGGUUGUAGGUUCGAAUCCCACCGUGGCCG
rnacentral:tRNA from 1 species